rnacentral:rRNA from 1 species
CAGCCGCCGCGGUAACACCAGCCCCCCGAGUGGUGGGGAUGUUUAUUUGGCCUAAAACGUCCGUAGCCGGCUCGGUAAAUCUCUCGUUAAAUCCAGCGUCCUAAGCGUUGGGCUGCGAGAGAGACUGCCGAACUAGAGGGUGGGAGAGGUCAGCGGUAUUUCUGGGGUAGGGGCGAAAUCCAUUGAUCCCAGGAGGACCACCAGUGGCGAAGGCUGCUGACUAGAACACGCCUGACGGUGAGGGACGAAAGCUGGGUAGCGAAUCGGAUUAGAUACCCGAGUAGUCCCAGCCGUAAACGAUGCAGGCUAGGUGUUGGGUUGGCCACGUGCCGACUCAGUGCCACAGGGAAGCCAUUAAGCCUGCUGCCUGGGGAGUACGGUCGCAAGGCUGAAACUUAAAGGAAUUGGCGGGGGAGCAC